GAAAAAAUCUCUCCAACUCUUUAACAGUUUUUUUAGUAAGGAAACAAAAAUGAAAUUCUUCAUGAUUGUAAUAUGAAAGCCUAUGUAAUGUGGGUUUCGAGAAUACACGUAACAUUUUAGCAAACUGCUUAAUGGAAAACCCAGAAGCAAAUGUUAGCACCACCAACUGCUCAUGGUAACAGUAGCACCAUAGAAGCCUACUGAUCUACCACUAACAUUUUGAUCAGGACUCAUUCAAAAAUAGUCUUUGCAUCGAUAAAAGUGCAAUGCCAGUGAUUAUGAAGGAAGCUGCUUACUAACUUCAGCAAGGAUGACAGAAUCAGACUCAUUCCCCUAGCCUCACUUUGCAGAUCUGGUUGCAGUGAAGACCUUGGCAAACGUCCUCUAAAGAACUUUGCUGAUGUGGCUGAAGACAUAGCCAUGGCUGUCCUUGUGCCUUGCCCUUCUUCUGUGACUUGCCUCAUCCCCACAGGCAGUAAACAGUGAACAGUUAGCCUUUGGAAGUGACUUUGUUGAAAGUUUGGGCUGUGCCUUGGCACG